CACAGAGAUUUAAAGACAUCAAAUAUACUUUUAAAUAAUAGCACAGAGAUUUAAAGACAUCAAAUAACUUUCAAAGACAUCAAAUAACUUUCAUCUGUCAUGUUACUGUAGAUUUUUGUAUGGAUUUCAAGCUAAUUUUCUUCUCUGUGGCCUUAAAGAUCAUUGUCGUUUUGUUUUGCAGAUAUUCAAAAUUUUUCGUACGCCUAAUGACACAAUCUGG
rnacentral:lncRNA from 1 species